UAAAGCCUAGUUUUCUUACUUAUCGAAUGAAGAACAAUUUCACUUCUUUUGUACGUCGACGUCUCUGCCGGCGAUCAGUGCUGAGCGAAGAACGCGCAGUGCAUUGUACAUUGUUAACUGAGCUGAUGUUGCUGCUAUUACAGGCACUGCUAAACCAAGAUUUUAUUUUCGCAGCCCUUGGGACAGAAGCAGUGCAAUUCUCAAGUGCAUAGACAUUCUCGCUAAGCAAGUUCGACAAAGGAAAAUGAAAGCUGGUGCUCAUCGAGAGCGACGACAUCACUGCCUGGCGUCGAAGGUACUUGAGAGCCAUCAAGGAAUUGCGGAAGCAGGACAGGUUCCUAUCUUCAAAAUACGAAAGACCUGUCAAUUCUAUCAAUACUAGCGUUGCUUCGCACUGCUUUUUUUUUCAAUAUGCAAUGCACGGAACACACUGAAGA